CUCCCACCUCAGCCUCCUGAGUAGCUCCGACUAUAGAUGUGUGCCACCAUGCCUGGCUAAUUUUCAUGUUUUUUGUAGAGAUGGGGAUUCAACAUGUUUCCCAGGCAAUCUGAAGGCAAAUGCUGUUUAGAUGCAGGCGAAGGUUCCUGGUGACCCAGGCUCUCACCAGCAGAUUGUCCCUUACCGUCCUCCUGAGGGUGUCUGGAGUUUCAGUGCUGUGUGCUCUUGGCGUCCACACUGGGGUGCCACCGACUCCCACUGUCCAGGGCUUCCAGUGGACUCUCCGAGGCACUGAUGUAGAAACUUCCCCAUUCGGUGCACCAAGAGCAGCCUCACACGGUGUGGGCCGACAGGAAGAGCUGCCAGAUCCAACAGUCCCUGGCUCCACCUCUUCUGCCACAAACAUCAGCUUGGUGGUAUCUGCUGGCCCUUAGUCCAGUGAGAAGGCAGAGAUGAACAUUCUAGAAAUCAACGAGAAAUUGCGCCCCCAGCUGGCAGAGAAGAAACAGCAGUUCAGAAACAUCAAAGAGAAAUUUCUUGUAACUCAAGUGGCCUGCUUCCUGGCCAACUGGCAGAACAAAUACGAGUAUGAAGAGUGCAAAGACCUCAUAAAAUCUAUGCUGAGGGAUGAGCUGCAGUUCAAGGGGGAGAAGCUUGCAGAGCAGCUCAAGCAAGCUGAGGAGCUCAGGCAAUAUAAAGUCCUGGUUCACUCUCAGGCAUGAGAGCUGAUCCAGUUAAGGGAGAGGUUACGGGAAGGGAGAGAUGCCUCCCGCUCAUUGACUCAGCAUCUCCAGGCCCUCCCCACUCCAGAUGAGCCGGACAAGUCCCAGCGGCAGGACCUCCGAGAACAGCUGGCUGAGGGGUGUAGGCUGGCACGGCACCUUGUCCAAAAGCUCAGCCCAGAAAAUGAUGAAGAUGAGGAUGAAGGUGUUCAAGUUGAGGAAGCUGAGAAAGUACAGGAUUCAUGUGCCCGCAGGGAGGUGCAGAAGGCUGAAGAAAGGGAAGUCCCUGGGACUCACUGGAGGAAUGUGCCGUCACUUAUUCAAAUAGCCAUGGCCCUUAUGACUCCAACCAGCCACACAGGAAUACCCAGAUCACAUUUGUGGAAGACGAAGUCGACUCAACUCUCAUUGACUCAUCCUCUCAUGAUGAGUGGGAGGAUGCUGUACAUAUUAUCCCAGAAAAUGAAAGUGAUCAUGAAGAAGAGGAAGAAAAAGGGCCAGUGUCUCCCAGGAAUCUGCAGGAGUCUGAAGAGGAGGAAGCCCCCUAGGAGUCCUGGGAUGAAGGUUAUUUGACUCUCUCAAUUCCUCCUGACAUGUCUGCCUCAUACCAGUCUUACAAGAGCACCUUUCCCUCAUUAGAAGAACAGUAAGUCGGCUUGGCUCUUGACAUAGGCAGUGAGUACUCCAUUGUGAAGGUAAUAAAGCUCCAGUUCAUGUCCCAGGUGGACCCCAUAAUCUUUGGGCCUUGUACCCCUGGUUGGGCUGACAGUUGCCAUCACUGUGGGCUGAACCUAUAUGUCAGUGUAGAUUUCAAUCACUCUGGAGUUGAGUCUGAAGCACAGGCAUGGGGUGGGUCAGUGAGCUUUGCUCUCUUCCUAGUCUCAGGCCAUGCCCUUGCCACCCUUGACCGACUCUCAGGACAUUGA